GACGACGCUGGCGGCGUGCCUACUACAUGCAAGUAGGACGAGUUGCGAAAGGGUGAGUAAUGUCUGGGAAACUGCCUGAGGGAGGGGGAUAACUACUGGAAACGGUAGCUAAUACCGCAUACCAUUGGGUGUGCCCAGAUGGGGUUAGCUAGUAGGUGGGGUAAAGGCUCACCUAGGCGACGAUCCCUAGCUGGUCUGAGAGGAUGACCGCCAACACUGGAAUUGGACCACGGUCCAGAGUCCUACGGGGGGCAGCAUUGGGUAAUAUGGCACAAGGUGCGCAAGCCUGAUGCGUCCAUGCCGCGUGUAUGAAGAAGGCCUUCGGUUUGUAAAGGACUUUCAGCGGGUAGGCGUUACCAGCAGAAGAAGCACCGGCUAACUCCGUGCCAGCAGCCGCGGUAAUAC
rnacentral:rRNA from 1 species